rnacentral:tRNA from 1 species
AAGGAAGGAUAGAAAUCAGUAAGUACUGCUAAUCCUUAUGCCCCGCGGUUAAAAUCCACGGCUUCCUUA